ACAUGCAGCUUGUCUCUCUCUCUCCUCCUGAUCCUCACUUGGUUUGGUAUUCCCUCUGAGGUUUAUUUCUUUAGUAUAAUUUAAUAAACUAUUAUUUUUGUGAAGUAAAUUAA